AUGGAGAUUAUAAGGAAAACUCUACAAAAGGAAGUUAGGAGACAACAUGAAUUAUUACAAAUCAAUUUGAAGGUGACUGAUGAGGUGAAGGGGUCCCAGUCUGGUGAGAAAAUCAUAGAAGGGGGAGAAGAGGAGGAAGCUAUUGAUGAUGAAUUGGCAGGGGAAGACAAACAGGAGGGAGGAGAAGGGAUGCCAGUCCUAGAGCUGAUGGAGCAAGCUAUUGGCCUAGGAUAUAUGGAGCCAGUGGAUUACACUGCUAGUCAGGAGACAGACUCUUUUGGGACAAAGGUGAAGAAAGCUAGGAAAGGGGAAAUAGACUUGAAAGAGGAAGAAGAACUGAGAAGAUGUGCCAGACUUAAAGGGAAGGAGAACUGCAACAUUACAGAGUUGGCCAAGGAAAGAGAAGCUAAAAAGGCAAAUAUGGUGAGCUUCCAUCUCCUGGGAUUUUAUCUAGACCCGAUAGUCUCCUUCAGAAAGUUGUUGUGGGGGGAUUAG
rnacentral:rRNA from 1 species